AGUAUGGUAAGCGUCACGUAAAGACUGAAGUUGAACUUUGAUUUUUUGAAGAAGCUUGCAACUUCUGUUGGUGAAAAGGAUUCUUAAAGUUAUUUCCAGCAGGUUAUAAAGCGUCUCUUAUUACUCGACAUGGAAAUGAGUUUUCUCUGAAUCAAGGAGAGCACCGUAACAAAUUUGUUUUCACUUGCUGGAAACAGACAGGAUGAAAAGACGAGCCAGGGGAUAGCUGUCUUACCAGAGCAGACGCCGCGCCGUAACUUAGCCGGAGCCAGCCCGCUGAGCUUUCACUACAGUCAAUGCUCUCCGCUGCGUCAUGUGCGUAGCAGCGUAGUGUCCUAUAAUUGAACCGUGCAAAUUGAACCUUGCUAUGAUUCUGUAACGAAUGCGCAGUACCGGUAUAGCUAACCUCGUAUUAGUGUGAGUGAAUCCAAUGUAGCUUGCUGUUCGGGUGAGUGUCUUCAUGCCAUCAUGGUCUUGUUACUGAGGGAAUAAGGAAUUUGGAAAUGAGUUUCCUUGAAUUGAACUUGAACAAUGAAGAGCACAUCACAUUGUCCUUGACCUUUCCCUUGGUGGUUUUCAUUAGUUAAUGUUGGGAACGGAACAAUCUUUGGAUUUGGAGUUUGGUCAUUCUUUCUCCAAAUUGUUUGUUGAACGAUUUAAUGUGAGCAACGAUGACCAGCUUAUCAGAAAUUAAGACACUGGCACAAAAUGUUGUGACUGAUGCAAGGAAUGUGCUUUCCAGAUCAAAAAGCGAGAGGGAAAUGUGCGCAGCUCUUCAAAAAAUUGGAAGUCUCCUGCUGCAAUCUGGUGACUCCUCAGACUUUAAGGAUUUACUGAAAACUACCGAUUUACCUGAUCAUGAUAUGGAUUUAGCCCAAAGACAGAUUCGUGAAAGCCACUAUGUGCAUUUCCUUAAUUACUUGUGUAAUAUAUUGAACUUUGAAUGGUACAGCAAUUUUGGGCGAAGUCAAGAAGGCAACCGAUUGUUCAACAGCUUUUUCCUGAAAGGUCUACCUGAAGACGCUCUGCUUGUACUAUGCAGUGUUAUUCAGAAUAGCAGUCCAAGCUUCAAACAGAAGAAAUGUGUCUUGCUCCUUGAAGAGUUCUUUAAUCAGCACCAACUCCAGACAAUGCUCUGUUCCAUGUGUGAUGUCUCCCCAGGUUCAGCGACCUUUCUGUCGACCUCGCCUUGUUCUUCCAGGUCGGCACUGGAUGGUCAAAGGUCACAGGUCAUGACUGUUCUGGUGACUCUACCUGACCGGAUUGCCAAUGCAAUGAAAAAGGACUGCAGUUACUUCUUCUACCCUGAUCAUUUCAUUCCAAUGGUAGCGAAAGAGAUUUUGAAAACAUUACACUACGUCCAUGAGAAACUAUCAAAGUCUGAAAAUGCUUCCCUGCAGUUUGUGAGUGAGCUGAUUGGUCGAUUAUGCAUUCAAGGUUACACCGAGAGACUUUUUGGCAUACUGCUUCCACAGCUACUGAAGUUGACUUCCUCUAAUUUCAUCUGGUGUCGCAUUGCUAAUCGAAUCCUGGCAGGAGCUCCAGACAGGAGUCUGGAAGUCAUUCUUGAAUACUUACUCAGACAUUGCCCAUGGUCUGGUUAUGUCGCUAGACUCUUGAGUGAUGCUGUACUUACUAAUGCCAAGAUCAACUUCCUCCUCACCAACAAGUUCUUGCUCCUGCGUCACUUUGCGGAUGUUAUCGUUCCUCAGAAUCUGAUUGGCUAUCUGGCUUCUUCUCCCUCCCGAAGGCAUUUGAUCGUGAAGGUUUUAAAGAGCGUGUUGAAUACAUGGGGCGACCGUUCAGCCGUAAAACAUACAUCACACAGCCAGCAUGCCUAUCUGACCAUGGUCAUUGUUAUUUCUGUCGGACAUCUUAAUGAAGAGGAGAAAGCAAAACACAAGGGAGAUCUGACCACCAUGUUGAUGGGCGGGGUGCAGGCCCAUCUUGAGAGUCCCAUUCAAAGGGUCAGAAGGCUGGGCAUGGCGACGGCAGAGAUCAUGGCAAAGACCCUUGACCCCAACGGUCCUAAGCUGGCGUUUGAAUACAAAGAGGACGAGGAGAGUCAAUUGCUUUGGUCAUUGGUCAAUCCGCCUGAAGAUCCUGGUCUGGAUUCCCUGAUUAAGGGGAUUGAUCAAGUUGCUAUAGAGUCUGAUAUGGAAAAGUCCAAUGGUACUGAAGACCAAGUAGGGUGUAGAGUCAGUGAUGCACCAAACCAAGAACAGGGGAGAGAGGAAGAAUUUGACAGUGAUGAUGAGUUUGAACCCUGCGACAUGUCACAUGACACCAAGGUCACGAAGGUCAAAGUACCUGUUUACGUUCGGGACUGUAUUGAUGGUUUGACUUCAAGAGAUGCCCCUGAGCUGACCGAAGCUAGUCUUAAGGUUGCAGAGAAGCUCAUCAGAGCAAAGCCAGAUGAUUUAAAAGAUGUUUGUAGUCAGUUUGUGGCCAUCUUGCUUCAUCUGGAGGACCAAUACAACACAGAAAACUUUAGAUUUCUCAGACACUCGGCUAUGGUGGCAUUAGCAGUAAACUGCCCUAUUGAGACAUCAAAGUAUUUAACUGGAGAGUUCUACAAUAGAAACUACAACAUCAGACAAAGGAUGGAUAUCUUAGAGGUAUUAGCUGCAGCUGCUCAGGACCUCUCCAAACCAUCCGAAGACCCAGGUCCUGCCUCAAAGAGUUCGGGGAUGGUAAACCCACAGGAACACAAAGCUAAAGAAAGUCAAGAAGAGAAUUGGAGAGAUAUUGUGCAGAAGAGGAUAGAGAGCAAGACGAGGAGAUUCGCAAAGGGUCCAAGCAAACCAGCUCCGAAUCCUGCCAUCAAUCGUUUUGCUCCUGUGGCUGGUCAUUUCUUCUUCCCUCUUUUGAAGUCAUAUGACAGUAAGUUGAACACGAUGGACUUGCUUGGUAACGACUUCCUUCUCUUAGGAAGGCUGAUGUAUACUCUGGGAAUCACCAUGUAUGCUGCACAAAACACACCAAUAUGUCGUCAGAUGGCUGUUAGCCUGUUGGACUUUAUUUGGUCCUUGAGGUACCAUUCUGAACAAUAUGUAAGGCAGUCUCUGAUGUUUGCUGUUUCCAUGGUUACACUCAGUGUUCCUGCCCACCUACUUGUGACUGAUCUCCAGAGUGAUAUUUUGGAAUGUCGUCAUUGGUUACAAGAUAUUUUGGAGAAAGAUCCUGAGCCUGAAUGCAAGGCUCUCGCUGGUCAGACUCUUCUGGUCAUUGAUUCAACUGUUAGCAAGGAACUGAAAGGGAAGAUAUGAUGGAAAGUGGAAAUGGCAACGUCUUUGGUGAUGAUGUCGAUGCAGAUGCUAGAUGUUCUGCAAGACACCUUUAUUCAACAGUGUUGUAUGGACACCUGUGAUGGAAUGGGACUCUAGCGUGUUGAAGUCAAGAGGUCAAAGAUCUGUCAGCCCAUGGAUCUUGUUUGAAUCUUUGGCCUGCAAAAGUUAUGUUGCCCCUAUACCUCCAAAAUAGGAAAGUUGGGUUGGUCAAUUUUUUUUAGUUACCUUUGCUGUUGCACUGCACACAUAGGAUGAUUUAUUUAUGCAGUCAAACCUCAUGAAUAUUUAAGUGCUUUUUAAGCCACUGAAUAUAAAUUCGAGCAAAUCUCACAAAAACAUUGCAUUUGUUUAUUUGGGUUUGCAUUUGUUUAUGUGGAGCAUUGUGGCCCAGUGGAUUAGUAUUCGGACUUUGAAACAGAGGGUCUUGGGUUCGAAUCCCAGCCAUGGCGUGUUUUCCUUCAGCAAGAAAUUUACCCACAUUGUGCUGCACUCAACCCAGGUGAGGUGAAUGGGUACCCAGCAGGAUUAACUCCUUGAAUGCAUGGGCUUGCGGACUGACUGCUGAGUGCUGAAAUAAAGCUUGAGCUAAAGCCAGGGUAAUAAUGAUAAAAAUAAAAAUAUGCCUCAGAAUACAUAGAUUAUCUCUAGAUAGAUGGCGCUAUAUAAAUGCCGCCUAUUAUUAUUGUUAUAAUGAUGGCAACAACAUUUUUAUAGGCCUUAUCUUGGAGCACAAAUGUCUUCUGGUCAGACAGUCAACUAGAUAUGUCAUUUUUCACCCAUGCAGAAAUGGGUUACUAGCAUGAAGGGAUUCAUUAAAUGCUGUGAGCAGAGAAACGAGUACUGAUCAAUUUAUAACUGGGGACUGUUAAUUAUGUCUAUUAACAAUGGGUAAUUUAUUCAGUAACAUAGCAGCACACAUGAUUCAUGCAUAACCCAAUGGGUUAUGAGUUAUGCAUGAGCCUUGUAUGUUGCUAUGUAAAAAAAAAUUUUGGAAGCCCAUCCAGUUAUAGGCAGCAUUCGCAGUGCUGUGAAGUUGGCUUCAUCUAUAGAAGAAUUUUAUUUCAUAUCACUGCAAUUUAUGGCAGCCAUUAUAACAUGGGGUUUCCAAAGAAAAAUAAAAACACUUUUCAAUGGGUUAUGCAAUGAGCCAGGUGCAUUGCUAUGUCAGUGCAGACAUGAUCUUUUUGUAAGGUAUCCUUUAAGCCCCCCACGUAAUAGAAAUUACCAUAAAAAAACAGCAUCCAACUGAAUUGGUCUAUAGACUGCUUGACCAUGAUACCACUUUCAAAUCCUAUGCAUUAAUUAACAAAAGUUGUUGCCACCACUUCGAGAGAAUUUCCUGACUGAUCAUGAAGCAAUGCAACUGGAUUCCAAGUAUUGUAGUUCAUCCAUGAAUAACAUGUGAAUGGAAUUCUUCGUUACUAAGUCCCCGCCAAGCAAAAAGGAAUUGAAGAGUUUGCACAGUUGAGUAAGCUGGGUAGUGUUUCAUGAAAAGUUUAUUCAGUGACUUAUUUUCUCCCAGCCAAUCAAAUGCAAGGAUUUGCAGUAGCUUAUAACAAUUGUCAGGGAAAAUCACUCACUAUUUGGUCCAUGAAAUGCUUUCCUGGUCUAUUUUGUUAGGGAACAAUGAAUCAACAAGAGCAUGUUCAUGCACUGUCUGUAUUGAUGAUUGCUGCCAAUAAGGAUAGGUAUUAUGCACCGUCACUUAUUGCACUACCGAUGAUGUGCUGGAGUUGGUGAUUUAUUUCAUGUGCAGUUUGUAUACGUGUAUCAUGGAUCUGUGUUAUUGCCUAUUCACCUGUGUGCACAAGAAAUCUGGGGCACCGGUAAUAGCAGUGGCCUCCUGGCAGAUUUUGGACUGUCACACCAUUUGAGCAUUGAAAGAGCAAGUUACUUUAUUAUGGAGAUGGUUCAAGCAGAAAAAGGGAAGCAAUCUAUAAGUGAGUUAUUCUUUUGAAAAUUACCAUUUAGCUUGUACAGUGCAACCAUCCUGUCUGUGGUAAUCUACAUGUUGAUGUAUGCAAUAUACAACAUACAUUUAAGAAAUUCUUUAAAAUAUUACUUUUUGUAACCCAAAAUACUCAGUUCCAUUCAGUUGUGAUUUUUUUUUAUUAUUAACUUUGGGAUUAUAUUUGUUAUUCACCAGAGCACUGAAAAUCUUCUAAUGGCCUUCUAAUGGCGGAAAGUACCUAUAAAGUUGGUCUGAAUGGGUACAAAACAAUCUUUUUAAUUAAAAAAAAAAGAAGAAUGAAAAUAAUUCGAUUUACUUUAGAGCCAAGUUAUAUGAUAACUAGCUGGAAUGGAAACUGUCAGUGU